rnacentral:rRNA from 1 species
UACGGAGGGGGCUAGCGUUGUUCGGAAUUACUGGGCGUAAAGCGUACGUAGGCGGCUUUGUAAGUUAGAGGUGAAAGCCCGGGGCUCAACCCCGGAAUUGCCUUUAAGACUGCAUCGCUUGAACGUCGGAGAGGUGAGUGGAAUUCCGAGUGUAGAGGUGAAAUUCGUAGAUAUUCGGAAGAACACCAGUGGCGAAGGCGGCUAACUGGUCCAGCACUGACGCCGAGGUGCGAAAGCGUGGGGAGCAAACAGG